rnacentral:rRNA from 1 species
AGCAGCCGCGGUAAUUCCAGCUCCAAUAGCGUAUAUUAAAGUUGUUGCAGUUAAAAAGCUCGUAGUUGAAUUUCGGGAUCAGAUUGUCGGUCGUGCCUCGGUACGUACUGGCAUUAUUGGUUCCUACCUUCUGAAGAACCGCGAUGUCAUUAAUUUGGUGUCGUGGGGAAUCAGGACUGUUACUUUGAAAAAAUUAGAGUGUUUAAAGCAGGCGCACGCUUGAAUACAUUAGCAUGGAAUAAUGAAAUAGGACGUUUGAUUCUAUUUUGUUGGUUUCUAGGAUCGACGUAAUGAUUAAUAGGGAUAGUUGGGGGCAUUAGUAUUCAAUUGUCAGAGGUGAAAUUCUUGGAUUUAUUGAAGACUAACUACUGCGAAAGCAUUUGCCAAGGAUGUUUUCAUUAAUCAAGAACGAAAGUUAGGGGAUCGAAGACGAUCAGAUACCGUCGUAGUCUUAACCAUAAACUAUGCCGACUAGGGAUCGGAUGAUGUUAAUUUUUAAUGACUCAUUCGGCGCCUUAAC